GACGAACGCUGGCGGCGUGCUUAACACAUGCAAGUCGAACGGUGAUGCUCCAGCUUGCUGGCGUGGAUCAGUGGCGAACGGGUGAGUAACACGUGAGCAACCUGCCCCAGACUCAGGAAUAAGCGCUGGAAACGGCGUCUAAUACUGGAUACGAAACUGUCCCGCAUGGGCAUGGUUUGGAAAGUUGUUCGGUUUGGGAUGGGCUCGCGGCCUAUCAGCUUGUUGGUGAGGUAAUGGAUCACGAAGGCGACGACGGGUAGCCGGCUGAGAGGGCGACCGGCCACCCUGGGCCUGCGACACGGACCAGACGCCUACGGGCGGCAGCAGUGGGGAAUAUUGCACAAUGGGCGAAAGCCUGAUGCAGCGACGCCGCGUGCGGGAUGACGGCCUUCGGGUUGUAAACCUCUUUCAGCAGGAAAGAAGCGAAAGUGACGGUACCUGCAGAAGAAGCACCGGCUAACUACGUG
rnacentral:rRNA from 1 species